rnacentral:rRNA from 1 species
UGACCUCGGAUCAGGUAGGGAUACCCGCUGACUUAAGCAUA